AUUAGUCUGAUGAGUCCCCAAUGGGACGAAACGCGCGUCCUGAAU
rfam:Schistosoma curassoni strain Dakar, Senegal genome assembly, scaffold: SCTD_scaffold0000233